CAUCUGGAAGCUGUUAAGACUGCUUUCACGUGAUUACCUAAUAAAAGAACGUUGUAAUUUCUAAGUCAGGGCUUAACACAGCAGACAGGGACUGAACAAAGCGAUAUUUAUGGAGUAAUAACUGGCACUAAGAAUAAAACAGACUCAUAACUAGAAGAGUCUCAAUUAUACCUUUAUGAGUCAGACUAGUCAUUCUGGUUUGCCCAUUAUGUAGCGAUAGACCUAGUCAGGCUGGCAGUCACAGGAGAUCCGUAACCUUGAUCUUAGCAACUGAAUGUUGUCUCAGGUUCUUAUUUAUUGAGAGAGAAUGAGAGCUACUUGCUCUUUCUCAAGAACAUUUCAUUUGCUUUUGUUGUAGAAACUUCUUGAAAAUCAGGCUUGCCCACCACCUCCUUCUUAGAAGUAAAACCUUAAAGAUUUGAUUCUUGCCAUCAAGGAGCUUAUCAACUAGGGACAUGAAAAGCUCAAGUACACAAAGUACCAGGCAAGACUGUAAUAUCUAACUCCAAAAUGGUAAAAACAAAGUCAAGUAGGACUAGAGAGGAGAAAAGGAUUACUCUGGGGCGAUCAGUCUGGCUUCACUUGCUCGCAGGGUGCUGUGUACAGAGACCCUGAGAGAGGAACAUCAGACCUGAGUUCCUGGUGCAGUGUGCCUACACCUGACAUUUCAGCCUGGGGACCAUGUGCAGAAAGCUGUAAACGAGGCUCACUCCAGAUGGUGGGUGGGCCAUAGGCAGAGAUGCUGCACCCGGUACUGUGCCUUGCCCAAUCACACCCCGCCUUCCUCUCGCGAGAACUCCACUCCCUUCCAUUGCCCCACUGCCAAGAUCCCUAUGAAGCAGCCCUACUCACAGGUUGCUCUAGGGGCCAAGCUUGCAUCUCUCCAGUUUUUGAUCAAAGAGUACAACUUUGCUUUGAACCAAACUCAGCCUCGUUCUACUGGCUCAGAUGACACGGGGCAGGAGGAUCCCACUCGAAAGCGUCAAUAAAUCCUUUCAUAUUACCAAGCAAAUGACUAUAAAAUGUUCUGGAGCUAAGAAGCAUUCUUUUCUUCUUUCCCAGCUCUACCAAGAUAUAAUUGACUCAUAACAUUGUAUAACUUUAAGGUGUACAACCUGAUAUGUGAGAGCCAUUCUUAUUAAUAACUUGGCAGCUUAGAUUUUCUAUGAUUAUCGGUUUUAUUUUUCUCAGUUUAUGUGAUGAAAACAGUAGCUGCUCAUCAAAAAUCCUCUUCCUUAGCAACAUCUGUUCCUGAUAUCAGCUGCUCGUUCUGGAAACACAUUUCCUAGCAGCUCCUGCAACUACAUAUGGUCAUGUGACUAAUUUUUUGCCAAUAAAAAUACGAGAA